AUUGAACGCUGGCGGCAGGCUUAACACAUGCAAGUCGAGCGGAGAUGAGGUGCUUGCACCUUAUCUUAGCGGUGGACGGGUGAGUAAUGCUUAGGAAUCUGCCUAUUAGUGGGGGACAACAUUCCGAAAGGAAUGCUAAUACCGCAUACGCCCUACGGGGGAAAGCAGGGGAUCUUCGGACCUUGCGCUAAUAGAUGAGCCUAAGUCGGAGUAGCUAGUUGGUGGGGUAAAGGCAUACCAAGGCGACGAUCUGUAGCGGGUCUGAGAGGAUGAACCGCCACACGGGGACUGAGCAACGGCCCAGACUCCUAAGGGAGGCAGCAGUGGGGAAUAUUGGACAAUGGGCGGAAGCCUGAUCCAGCCAUGCCGCGUGUGUGAAGAAGGCCUUUUGGUUGUAAAGCACUUUAAGCGAGGAGGAGGCUACUUAGAUUAAUACUCUAGGAUAGUGGACGUUACUCGCGGAAUAAGCACCGGCUAACUCUGUGCCAGCCGCCGCUGUAAUAC
rnacentral:rRNA from 1 species